AACUUAAAAAAAGCAAAAGUUCUGAUUCUCCCAAGGAGGUGGCCUUAGGAUCAGCCUUGCCAUCUCUGGGGAAAUGUUCUCAAACUUGGCCAAGUUCAAAUCCUCCAAAAAAUCUCAGUUCACACCUAGUAGCUAAAUCCUGCACAGAUGGUUUCUGCACUGAGCAUGCUCCAGACCAGGGCUGCAGAAAUGUGGCUUUCUGGAGGAUUUUUUCUCCCGGCAGCCAAGGGCUGUUAUGUGCGGAGACAGCAAGAAAACUGUUUUUCUUAUAUUUAUUGCCCCUAAUGCCAAAGUCCGUGCAGCAAAGAUAACAAGGGAGGCAUGUGACUGGAAAGCAGAGGGAUCAAAAAAGAAAUAUCGGGAGAGAUUUAAGUUUCAGUAGCCAGAGGAUGAAGGCAGCAGAGGAGCUGGUGGAGGUGGAUGAAUGGGAACACAGGGGAGAAGAGGUAUAAGAGACAGCUGGGCUGACAGGGGCAGGAAGAGAAGGAGGCAGGAGGAACAGAGAGACCGGAUAGCAGCAGAGGUAUAAUGGGAUUGUGGACAAGAGAAGAGUCUGUAACCACCCCAGACCCUGGAAGUCAACCCCGGGGGUCUGAGUCUCACCCUUCCUCUACAGGCAGUUGUGAAACCCACUGGCAAAAGCAGCACCUCGUCCUCCUCUACCGCCUGGUCCAUACAGAGGACAACAACCUUCUACCGCUACCAGUGACUCAUGUGCUAGAGAUCUCUGCUGUGGAUCUACAUGUCCCGCUCUGAGAAAGACCCAAGGUGGAUCAUCAGUGUGGAUCCCUGUGACAAAAUCUCUGGUCUUAUUUCCCCCUGGUGUUCAGGAUGAGAUGGAUUGAAGAAAGAGCACUGCACCCUGAAUCAAUACACUUCCGGCAUCUUUUUUACCUUGCUUCUGAUAAGAACAGGCUGACGCGAUGCAGUGCUUGCUGCCAUGUUGACAUUAAAGGCUGAUUUUACCUGCGAUGCCAGAUUGUGGUUGCAUGGGAGCUUCCAAGCGAAGCACAGCCAGUCGGGAUCUUCAUUUAGGCCGGGGGACAGCCAUCAUAAGGAACUGUAGUGCAUCCAACAUUGGGGCAGCAAAGUUACCCGAUGGCGGUUGCCUGGACCCACCUUGCUUGUCCCCUCUGGCAUUUCAGGGUCCCAGCCCAUUGUCUCACCUACCACACCUUGGAUGGGGAGGCUGCCUCUAGGAGGCAUGUGGGGUGCCCUUGGCACCCUUCUUGGUGGUCUCCUCCACCUCUCUAGCCACAACCCAGUAUUUAAAUACAAAUG